rnacentral:rRNA from 1 species
UACAGAGGUCCCAAGCGUUGUUCGGAUUCAUUGGGCGUAAAGGGUGCGUAGGUGGUGCUGUAAGUCGGGUGUGAAAUCUCGGGGCUCAACCCCGAAACUGCACUUGAUACUGCAGUGCUGGAGGACUGGAGAGGAGAUCGGAAUUCAUGGUGUAGCAGUGAAAUGCGUAGAUAUCAUGAGGAAGACCGGUGGCGAAGGCGGAUCUCUGGACAGUUCCUGACACUGAGGCACGAAGGCUAGGGGAGCAAACGGG